rnacentral:lncRNA from 1 species
CAAAGGGUGGUCAGUCUGGGAUGAGGGAGCUGGUGUGUGAACUAAGGUCUGAAUGGUACAGAAGAGGUAACUCCUAGGUGGAGAAGCUAAGGGAGGAGCCGUAUCUUACCCAUGGUUUGCACAGCCUCUAGAAUUCUGUUCUUUGACCUCCCAAGCUGGUCCUGGUAUCCGGAUCUCCAUCUUCUGAUAGCUGUGAGCUUGCUCCACGGCAGCCAGCCCUGCAGAGAUAUGAGAGGCAGGGCAGAGACAGAGAGCAAAGUGGCUGAGUGGGCCUUGUCAUUAGUUGCUGAACGCAGUAAACCCAGUGGACUCCCCCUGCGAGAUCCUUUGCCUUUCUCCUGCUCUGCAAGUUGUUUCUUGUUGUUGUUUGGGGAACACUGCAGAAGACUGUGGUGGCAAUGGGAGUGGAGGCAUAAGAACUGGGAAGGAUGGGCUAUCCUCGGACAUGACAAGUUCCUUGCAUUCAGGAUUGCUGAACUGUGAUUGUCUGCACAAGGCUCACACAAG